UGUAAAUCUGAUAUCGUCGCCAUAGCUUCAAUCGUCGACCAAACAAAUUCAAGCCCUGCGGAUAACACCGCGGGGCUUU
rfam:Salmonella enterica subsp. enterica serovar Choleraesuis str. SC-B67, complete genome.